rnacentral:lncRNA from 1 species
ACACUCACUCCGCGCUCAGCGUGGGGCUAAAUAAGCCAUUCCCUGUUUGUCUGUGCCGCUGCCUGGGGCCCUGACCACCCGUCUCUGCCUCAUAACCUCCUCCCACAGGCGCUGGCACACACAGUGGGGGCUCAGUAAAUAUUAGUUGGUGAACAGCAGGCUCAAGGUUCUAAUUUUGUUCCCUGCUUCUGGGUCACCAGAGUUUUUAUUAUUAUUUUUCUUAGUUUUCCCAUCCUGCCCCUCCCAUCAGCGCGAGGUUUCACAAGGAGAGUGAGUGGGCUCCGCUGGCCGCCCUCCUGCACUGUCUGGAAAUUUCCCACCCUGGGUGCGCUUUGACUGUGCCAAGGCUUGAGGCGAAGGUCCUGGGAGCAGGAGCUGGAGGAAGAUAAUGCAUCCUUUCAGGGUUUAUUCAGUCACCAUGAAGCUGCUGCUGCUGCACCCGGCCUUCCAGAGCUGCCUCCUGCUGACCCUGCUUGGCUUAUGGAGAACCACCCCUGAGGCUCACGCUUCAUCCCUGGGUGCACCAGCUAUCAGCGCUGCCUCCUUCCUGCAGGAUCUAAUACAUCGGUAUGGCGAGG